AGUUCUCAGGGCGGGGUGCGAUUCCCCACCGGCGGUAUGCCCUCAAGCGGGGCGAGCCCGCGAGCCCGGAGCCGCGUCAGCGGCGAUGGAGCAGAUCCGGUGAGAAGCCGGGGCCGACAGUUACAGUCUGGAUGAAAGAGAAUG
rnacentral:ncRNA from 1 species